GCAAACUUUGGGUGCUGCCGGGCGCUGCUUGCUAGAUCUGACUGGAAACAAAGAAUAAUUUUUUUUUAAAGAUAUUUUUCUUGAAAACAAUGUUAACCUCGUUGAAGGUAUUGGGAUACCUAUGUGAUCUUUAGGAGUGGCUUUGAGGAGCAAAUGCAAAAUGAGCAGCGGAGGACAGUGCAGAAGACGCAGAGGGCUCUCAGUCUGAGCCACGAGGAUUUGAAGAUGUCUGUGUGCAGUGACUUUGUGGAACACAUUUGGAAGCCCGGCUCCUGCAAAAACUGCUUCAACCCAAAGACUUCUCAUCAGCUGCAAACACCCCCAGACGUGGGAGCUUGUAGUGUGCUCCCGAAUGGAGUUAGGACCAAGCCCGAGAGCCCCGCAUUGGAAGAUGAAGUUGUAAAUACUUCCCCUUUCUCAAAGCCAACAAUUGCUGUGAGGCCAACUAUGAUAAACUCAGAUGUUUCUGACACGUGGGCGGAUGUGAAUAUGAAUGCAGAUCUGUCACAGGUUAGCUGGGGCAUGGUUACUGGCAAACAACUCCUUCUGAAAUCAGGAGAUGCACAGCGGAUCUGCCUUGACAAUUUUGGCGGUGGUGGUGUGAGAAAGCCCUUCCUUCACAAACCGCCCAGCGACUGCUUGUCUUGCUGUCCUCCUAGCUACUCCAUGGUGGGACUGCGCAGCCUGGAGAGCCGAGUGGAGAGAAAUGUCUCCAUCCACAGCCUGGUGCUUGUGGGUGAGGUGGGCAAGCAGGAGGACAGAGCCAAAGACAAGUUUGCUCUGCCGCAUUGGGCCCCCUGCCCUAAUCCCUCCACCUUGGAGGACAGAAUCACCAGCAGAAACCCUCCUUCCCAAGCCAGAGAAGGAGCAGCGCUCCCCUCGGAGGGCGACUGUGGUCACGUCUCCUCAGGGUUUGAAAGUGAAGGAGGCGAGUACUGUUCAAUCACGGACUGCUGCAGAGAGCACCCCGUCUCGUGGGAGCUGCACUGCACAGAGGGGAAGGGUGCCAAGAAGGAGAGCCCUGCUCCCUGUGGAUGGAGGCAGCGGGAUACUCCAGAGAUUCCUAGGCCAAGCGGAAGGGUGGUCAAGUUCAGCGAAGAGGAGUGCAGAGCUGUGAAUGUGGCCUUCUGCAUCACAAAAGACCAGGGUGAUCCUCUCCCCUACGCCCUGUGUUCAGAGAGAAAAAAGCUGGCUCUCCACACCGAGGCUGCUGCUCUCUCUGAGAGCACGGGGAGCAGCAAGGUGGCUGCCUUUGCUUUGUCCCCGGAGGAUGAGGACUUGCCUGUCCCUGGAGAGCUCUCUAUCACCGGAGGCCCCUGGCCUGAGGGUUCGAGCACCCCUCAGCAGGCUCUGGUGGAGCCACAGCGCCCUCGCCUUGCAGAGCCAGCCCGCGGUGAUCCCAUCUAUGCCGAGAGCACCAAGAGGAAGAAGGCACAGCUGAAGGCUGUCAGCAGACAAACAAAAGUGGAGAAGGUGGCCCGCAGCACUGGCAAGGAGCAAGCCGAUGGGAUGUGGAAGGAUGGCAGCUGGGCUUUGAGUGGUGAGAAGGAAUACCAAGACUCCACUGGCCAGGUGGCUGCAAAGAUAACUAUAAUGACAGCACACACUGAGGAUGAUCACAAGACAAUAUUCCUCAGCAGCCCUGACUCAGCGGUGGGAGUUCAGUGGCCAUGUAUCAGCCCCAUUGCCCACCCCGAUUUUGGGACUUCAUCACCUGCCAUUGAGCCUGGAGAAAUUUUUCAAGCAUCUGGAAGUGAAAACAGCCCAAGGUUUCAUCUGACAGCUCCUUCCAAGACCUCAGUUACUGAGAGUCCAGCCAUUCCCCCAAAGAUGUCCAAAAACAGCCAGCUGGGCAGCGAGGGGAACCGUGUUCCACCGCCAAGCUCCCAUGUGGCAAGGUUUGGUGAUGACAACAGCCACGAUGGAGCUGGUGUUCAGCUGCUGCCGAGGAGCUAUAGUGAUACAGGCGCCUUUGGGGCGUCCCCUUCUCCAUGCACUCAUGUCAAUGGGGUCUCUGUGGAGGAGUCCAGCAGAGGUUUGGCAGGCUCGUCCUAUGACAGGAGGCAGAAAUACUACACCCCAGCGUGGACCAAGCAGUGCCGGAUAGAGGAAGAGGAGGAGCAGGAGGAGGAGCAGGAGCUUUUAACCCACCCAUGGGCAGUGGGAGCUGAGAAUGGAAAAGCUGGUGCUGACCUUGUGGAUGACAGCCUGAUGCUGGAGAGCCAGACUGGGAUCAGCAAAUCAUCGUCCUUCUCCUUUGAUUUCCCUAAAGACAAGAGUAAUGGUGUGGAGUUUGCACCACCGCCACCACCACCAAAAAAGCAGUCCAGGAAUGCUCUGAAAAUGAACCCGAAUAAUGCUGAGUUGGAGAGGGUCAGCAACAGUUCUGCCGAGAGCCUCAGCCCACCUUUCAGGAGCGUCCAUGUCAGCUUCACGGCUGGCUCUACUGACAGCCUCGACUCAGACACACAGACUGGCAGUGAUGGCAGGCGCUCGUCUGAGCCGAACCACUCACCCCCUCCAGCUGAGAGCCAAGUGUUUCCCCCUGUCCCUUUCCUUCCAGCCUCUGGUGAGGAUGGUCCCUCCUCUGCCCCCAGCUGCCCACCCCCUCUGCCCCAGAAGAAGACAGUGAGCAGAACAGUGUCCUCCCCAGAUGGCUUUUUUGGGGGACAGGCAUCUUCAGGCAGAGCAGCUGGUGCUGCCAGCCCCAGACUGAAUGUCAGCCACUCUGAGAGCAAUGUCUGCCUCCAAGAGGAGCCUCCCUUCAUCCACCCGGCUGGCCUGGGGGGCCGCCCUGGCACCUUCUCCUCCUCUGAGUCCCUGGAGAAAGGCUCCAAAGGAAAUGGCUACUGGGGCUCAGCCACUGGCAAAAGCACAGGGGCUUGCAUCCCCAGCAGAAACCUCCAGUCCCUUUCCUCCUCACAGCUCAGUGUGUCCAGCCAGGUGUCAUCAGGCUCCACCCUCCAGCUCCACAACCUCCUGAGCAACAUUGACAGCAAGGAGGGGGUGUACGCCAAGUUGGGGGCCCUCUACGCCGAGUCCUUGCGCCGCCUGGUUGCCAAAUGUGAGGACUGCUUCAUGCGGGAGCAGAAGAAUGAGCUGCACUUCAGUGAGAACAACUGGUCGCUCUUCAAGCUGGCAUGCAACAAGCCCUGUUGUGAUUCAGGGGAUGCGAUAUAUUACUGUGCCACCUGCUCCAAGGACCCUUCUACCACCUAUGCUGUGAAGAUCUGUAAAACGCAGGAGUCCAAGGUGGCUGCUUCAUACUGCAGCCCUGCAGUGCCAGUCCAUUUCAACAUCCAGCAGGACUGUGGGCAUUUUGUGGCCUCUGUACCCUCCAGCAUGCUGCUGGCCUCAGAUGUGGGGAAAAGCAUGCCUGGGGAUGGCCUCCAUCCCUCCCGCACUGCCAGUGAGCAUGACUGUGUGGUGGUCAUUACCCGGGAGGUGCCGAGCCAGACCACUGCCGACUUUGUGAGGGACUCAGUGGUGUUGCACCAAGCCAAGCCUGAGCUGUACGAACGUCGCGUUUGCUUCUUGCUCCUCCAGCUCUGCAAUGGCCUGGAGCAUCUCAAAGAGCAUGGCAUCAUCCAUCGUGACCUGUGCCUGGAGAACCUCCUGCUUGUCCCCUGCAAGCCCCCCAUGAGCUGUGUGAAAGCCAAAGAUGACAAACACUUACCCCGCCUCAUCAUCAGCAAUUUUUUGAAAGCCAAACAGAAGCCGGGAACUGGAGACUCCAAACUGAAGAAGAGUCAGGCCCGGCUGGCCCCAGAGAUUGUGUCAGCUUCUCAGUACAAGAAGUUUGACGAGUUUCAGACUGGUAUUCUCAUCUACGAGCUGCUGCACCAGCCCAACCCCUUCGAGGAGAAGGUGCACCUCAGGGAGCAGGAGUACAGUCCUGAGGACCUCCCUGCUCUGCCCAGCCUGUCCAUCUACUCCCGGGGGCUCCAGCAGCUGGCCCACCUGCUGCUAGAGGCAGAUCCCAUCAAGCGUGUGCGGAUCACUGAGGCCAAGCGGAUGCUGCAGUGUCUACUUUGGGGGCCCCGGAAAGACCUCACCGAGCAGCCCCUCAGCCAUGAGGAAGCCCUCCGCCGGGUGCUUCAGAACUGGGUGGACAUGAAGCGUGCCCUGCUCAUGAUGAAGUUCGCAGAGAGGGCUGUGGACACAGAGCGGAGCAUUGAACUGGAGGACUGGCUGUGCUGCCAGUACUUAGCGUCUGCUGAGCCAGCCUCCCUCUCACACACAUUAAAACUGCUGCAGCUGCUCUGACCUUGGAUGUGUCUCGGACGCAGCUGAGGGCUCCUGGUUGCCUUGUGGCUAAAGGUGGCAGGAACCUUGGCUUGGGAACCACUGUCCCAUGGACCAUCCUGGAUACAUCGUCCUGGAAAGCCUGGCCCUGAUGCAAUUGCUUUCACAUGAGCCAGCGGAGUGAUGAAACAGCUGGAAAACCUGCCUGAAGGAGCCCAGCAUGUUUUUCAGAGAUAAGAUGAAGAGAUGACUCAGUUUAUAAGCAUGGAUAUAGGGAACAGUUGGGGGCAGCUCUGCAGGACAGCACUGAAGGAGUUAGGGCCUGGCCAUGACAAAUCCAAGCUGUGCUUGGCAACAGGGAGAUUAUAUGUGGGGCAAAAUGGCUUGCAAGGCUUGGGCUGGUACCCAGUGGGAGUCAAGAAGUAGCCAAACAUCCAACCAACCCACAAAACCCAAGGCUGGAUCCAUUUUGCAUGCUGAGUUUCAGUUUAGUGACAAACACUGAUACAGGUGGUGUUGCAGGGCCUGCACAGUGUGGGAUGUUAAGCUGAUCAAAAUUUUUCCCUUGAGUCUGGGCACUUAAGACUGCCUCUGGUGUUGGUCCUGGUAACCUGCAACAGCAUGCCCAGCAGAGUAAAGGCCAACAAUAGUAUUGUAGCAUUUUCAGCUGUAUUAUUUUGAGAUUUGGUGGGUGGUUUAUUACUCUCAUAUAAACAGAAACUCUUAGCUCCAAGCUUUCCUGAUACCUUCUCCUAUGGUAGCUCAUGCUGCUUCUCCAGCCUAAAUAGUCCUAGGUCAGUGCAUGAACUGGAGAAGUACAUUAGGGUUUCUGCUGUGUAUCUUUGUGGGGAA